UCUAAAGAGAGGCCGUCUUUGUGCAAGUUGAAGGACCUGUCGAGCAGAAAGACAUUUCCUUGACGUGUUGUCUGACGUUAAUGGUGCUAAUCUAUUCAUAACAUUGGCAAUCUUUCUCUGCAACUUCGUCGUACUUUCUAUUAACGCCAAUCAAAUUAUUAAUGGGAAUCGCCAUUUUCCGUACGAUCUCAACUUUAAACGAAUUUCAGGAGAGGACGCACAGAGACGUAUUCUUGGUAUGCGCCAUUAUGAAUUCAUCCACCUAAGUGUUGAACCUGCUCCAGAAAAUAAAUAUGGGCAUAGUUGAUGUUCCUUCUUUGCUGGGUGCUUGCAGUUAUGCGACAGGCUUUUAGAAAAAUGAUACUUUCACUUUAUUUUUCUGUACCAAAUUACUUAAUUGUAAAAGCUGGCUAGCCAUUAGAAGCAAUCUUACUUUUGGAAGGAAGGCUUUCGGACCAAUGAUAGAGAAUAAGGGAACGAGGAAUUUCGAUUGGGUGUCCAGAUGGGAUGAAUUUGGAAACUAAUCCUCCUGCAUUUUGUAACAAUAAUUUAAUAAGUUUUGCUAAUUCUCAAGAAUAUAGUUAGUUUCAUUAAUAAAUUAUUCUUUGAUAAUUAACAAUGAAAAAAAUAAGAAACAUGUCCGACCUCCUGCAGGUUCUUUCCCUUUCUAAUUUCUUUGGUUUAGUAUAAAAACCCGAAAAGCCAUUACCUUUUCCCUUCUUUAUUUCUUUAUCUGCUAGUGCGCUCUUUACCUAUUAGCUGCCCAGUUCUUUUUUCUCGGAGAGAUUCCAUUAUAUCAAAUCACAUGAAACAUAUCUAGCGAGUAUUACAUUAUGUCUGAUAAAAUCCUACGUAUCUGAUCAAUCAGCUCAUUCCAUUCUUGUCAACCUAUAUUAAACAUUUCUCCAUUACUAUACUCUCUUCCAAUUACACACGUUGAUUACUGGAUGCUUAUUAUUGUAUAAGAAAGAUUAUUUUAUAUAUCAUGAAAAUUGCCUGCCUAUAAUUUAAUAAUCUCGAAACGUUAGGCAAAGACAGUAUAUAUUGCAGAGGUCGAGGGGAUUUGUACUAUACAUCCAAGAAACUAAGCACUUGUAACUGCAAUUACUGAUAAAAUGGCGAUCAUGGCAACUCGAAGCAUUCCUGAUGAUGGGACACGUGAAAUGACCGUUGAGCAGUUCAAAAGGUGGUUAAAAUCGUUUGACACCGACGGAGAUGACCGGAUAAGCAACGAAGAACUGGCGGAUGCUGUCCGAGUCAAGGGAGGAUGGUUUGCAAGAUGGAAGGGCCAGAGAGGGAUCAAAUCUGCAGAUUCAGAUGGCAAUGGCUUUGUUGAUGAAAAUGAAAUUGAUAAUUUAAUAGAGUUUGCACAAAAACACUUGCGUAUCAAGAUUAUAAGCUCCUAGUUUCUUUCCCUGACCCGUUCGUUCUCAUUUCAUUCACACACAUAUGUAUGGCUUUUAGCUGCUGUCUGAACUGUGUAAAUUUAUUUGGAAUUUUCAUAUUUUCAUGUUUAAUAUGAAAGAAAACGUUCUUUUUACACCUAAUAAAGUAUAAUUUUAUGGGAUUCAA